GAUAAACGCUGGCGGCGUGCCUAACACAUGCAAGUCGAACGCCCUUUUGCGCAAGUGAGAGGGAGUGGCGGACGGGUGAGUACCACGUGGGUACCUACCUUGAGGUGAGGAAUACCACCGAGAAAUCGGUGACAAGACCGCAUACGCUCGGGCAACCGAGCAAAGUCAUGCAAAUGACGCCACAAGAUGAGCCUGCGCCUGAUUAGCUGGUUGGUGAGGUAACAGCUCACCAAGGCGACGAUCAGUAGCUGGUCUGAGAGGAUGAUCAGCCACACUGGGAUUGAGAACGG
rnacentral:rRNA from 1 species